AGAGUUUGAUCCUGGCUCAGGAUAAACGCUGGCGGCGCACAUAAGACAUGCAAGUCGAACGGACCAAAUUAAUUUGUUUACAAAAUAAAGAGGUUAGUGGCGGACUGGUGAGUAAUAUGUAAGCAAUCUGCCUAUUAGAGGGGAAUAACAGUGAGAAAUCAUUGCUAAUACCGCAUAUGCCAUAUAAACCACAUGGUUUAAGUGGGAAAGGAGCAAUCCGCUAAUAGAUGAGCUUACACCUGAUUAGUUAGUUGGUGGGGUAAUGGCCUACCAAGACGACGAUCAGUAGCCAAACUGUGAGGUUGAACGGCCACAUUGGGACUGAGAUACGGCCCAGACUCCUACGGGAGGCAGCGGUCGGGAAUUUUGCGCAAUGGAGGAAACUCUGACGCAGUGACGCCGCGUAUAGGAAGAAGGUUUUCGGAUUGUAAACUAUUGUCGAUGAGGAAGAAACAAGACAGUACUCAUCAAGAAAGCUCCGGCUAACUACGUGCCAGCAGCCGCGGUAAUACGUAGGGAGCAAGCGUUUUCCGGAAUUAUUGGGUGUAAAGGGUGCGUAGACGGGAAUGCAAGUCAGCUGUGAAAUCCCUCGGCUUAACUGAGGAACUGCAACUGAAACUACAAUUCUUGAGUGCAGGAGAGGAAAGUGGAAUUCUUAGUGUAGCGGUGAAAUGCGUAGAUAUUAGGAGGAACACCAGUGGCGAAGGCGACUUUCUGGACUGUAACUGACGUUGAGGCACGAAAGUGUGGGGAGCAAACAGGAUUAGAUACCCUGGUAGUCCACACUGUAAACGAUGGAU
rnacentral:rRNA from 1 species